UUUCCGUAGGUGAACCUGCGGAAGGAUCAUUAUUGGAUUUUGAAACUUCAGGCUGCUGCUGGCUCUCCUCGGAGGGCAUGUGCACGCUUGUUGUCCAUUAUUUCUCCCACUGUGCUCAAAUUGUAGACCUUUCAGUAGGCCUAUGUUGUUUUUCACAAUCUCUGAAUGUAAUAGAAUGGUUUUGAAUCUUGGGAAAUACAAUACAACUUUCAGCAACGGAUCUCUUGGCUCUCGCAUCGGUGAAGAACGCAGC
rnacentral:misc_RNA from 1 species